CUGACAGAAACUGGUUGUGAAAAAUUUAUUAAAUCUUUUACAGUUAGAAGCAGCAGUAGAACUUCUGGAACAUGGAGCCCUGCAACACAAACAGUCAGCUGGUAGCAGAUCCAAAGAACAAAUCCUGAGAGCUCAGAGACCCACCUCCAACAUGUUCAGUAUGCUUUGACUGGAACUUGGUCGCCCUUUGGAGGCAGGUCACGGCUCGGCUUUAGAUCUACUCACAAUCACAAUGAGGUGAGUCACUGAAGCAGGAGGCUGAGAUCAGAAUCUGAAGAGACUAAAUGCUGUUUUAAUUUUAAAUGGCUUGUUUUUUUGUUUUUUUUUUUGUUUUUGUUUUAUAAAGAGUUUUUAUGUUUUGUUGAACUCCAGAUAAUGUAACUUUAUGACACAAAUGUGCUGGAACUGUAAAUGUUUAUCAAGUCUGCAUUAUAGUUUUAACUCUUAAGUAUAUUUCAAUUACAGCAUUGUUUCAAAAAUGGGUUCCUGGAAAAUGGUUUAACAGUUCAUCUUCAGUUUAAAUGUAUAGACCAUUGGUACAAUCAGGUAAUUUACAUGUUGACCAUAUUGAAAAGGGUCAGAACUUUAGUAAGUGUCUAGAUCUAUAUUUGUCUAGUAACUGUACAAGGGAACUAUUACUAUUUGCGAUGUUGCAUUAUUUCACUUUCUGGCACCCUUGCUGCCAGAUUUAAUCUCUGUAAACUGGAUUUGCUCUGAAAUGUUCUGGUGUGUCUUCAGGCUGUUGUGGAUUUCCUGUCUGCUGGUUGGAAGCAUCACCUGUCUGCCUGUACAAGAUUCUGGACUAGCAGCAGGCAGAGAACCAAACCCCAGAGGUUAUUAUCCGGGACCCUGGGUCAGCGGACCAACAAGUCCUGACCCGACCGUCCCCACUACAACCACCAAACCCGACCAGCAGCUCAAGUAUGUCUAUGGCGGCUAUCCAGGCGUCUAUGGCGGUUAUCCAGGCGUCUACAGCUACCAGAGCACUGACCAGACCUCUGACCAGACCCCUGAUGGGCCCUUCUUCACUGAUGUGUCCGAUCUGGAUCCAGUCUACAACUUCCACUCUCGGUCCCGCUACAGGAGAGGAAGAGCCCAUUUCUCUCAGACCCGCUACGUCCCCACUGACUCUCUGUACAGUCCAGUGUUCAGCUACCCAGGCUACCUGCCUCCACAGGGCUACCUUCCUCCAAAGGGUGACCAAGUUCAAGUCAAAGCCUACUGAACAUGUUGGAGGUGGGGCUCUGAGCUCAUGAAUUGUUCUAUGGAUUUGCUGCCACCUGACUGUUGCAGGUCUCCAUGUUCUAGAAGUUCUACUGCUGCUUCUAACUGUACAAGAUUUAAUAAAUGAUUUUCAGAACUAGCCUUUGUCUCAGUCUUCAUCACUUGAUCCUGAACAUGUCUGACAGCUGUGCUAAAUGAAGGCUUCUUACAGGCAGCAUUGCAUGACUAUUAGCUUUAGUCUUCAAGCAUUUAAAAGCUGCAUCUUGUCUCUGAAGGUCCCGGUAGUGAUUUAGGGAGAAGAACUGGAUCUAAACAUCUCUGUUGGGCCUGCUUCACAUUACAGCCUGCGUGUUUGAGAUUAUUUCUGCUGCUUUUUUUUUUUUUUUUUUUUUUAAAAACCUGAGGUCAAAGUUUUUCCCCAGCUUGUAUGCUUUGAAACCUGUUUGCUUAUGUAAUGUACUUCGAACAUGCCAUCAGCACUUGGUAAGGUGAAGGCCAUUCCAAAUUUGACUGGAAAGAACCCAAACUUCACUGACGCAGCCAUCUGCCUCAACUGUUAUG
ensembl:lncRNA